UAAAGUCAAAAUUUGAAGAAGAUAACCAUUUUGGGAAAGGAGUAUGAUCACCCUUUUAUCUCCAAUCAAUUGUGAUAAAGGAAAAUAAUAAGAAAUUAAAAGAAAAUAAAAAGAGAAAGGAAACUUACCAUUUUAUUUGAUUAGGCUUUAUUGAGAGAAUUAAGAUAAAGGGGGAAGGAAAAUUUGGGAAGGGUCAUUCUUGCUCUUGGCUGUGUGUUGAAGAGAGGAAGAGAGAGAGAGGGUGGCGAGCUAGAGAGAGAAAGGGGAAGGGGCUGCCAUUUUUCUAGAGAGAAGGUGGAGGAGAAAGGAAGAAGAAGAAGGAGGUCCUAGGGUAUUCAAAGGUGAUUAUCACUUGGGUGUUGAUCAAGUUGUGUUCUUGAUUUUACAAUCAAGAGAGGUAGCAAAUAGGUUUUCUCUGUGGCACGCGUGGUGAUGUGGGGAGUUCUAUCGUCCUGGUGUGUAUGGCGUUGGGGCAUCCUAUGGGCGAAAAACGAUCAAUUAAAAACGCCAUUUUUAAUAAUGUUAUGUUUUAUUAGACUUUUUUUUAAAACUUAUCAGUGGGACUUGAAUUAUUGGUUGUGUUUAGAAAUUUGCAUAAAAACUGAUAUUUUCUUUUAAAACUAUUGGGCUCAACUUGCAUGUUUUUAAGCAAGACCCCACUGAAACCUUUAUAAUAAGUGGAUUUCUUUUAUAGACCAAUGAAAAUGUGAAUGUUUUAUUAA